AUCUUAUCAAGAGAGGUGGAGGGACUGGCCCUGCGAAGCCCAACAACCAGCAUUACUAUUUUAUGUAUGGUGUUAAUUCCUGCAAGUUGAUUUUUGGGAGAUAAGAA
rnacentral:ncRNA from 1 species